GCAUGCAUGUGUGUUUAUGUUGGUGUGUGUGUGUGUGUGUGUGUGUGUGUGUGUGUGUGUGUGUGUGUGUGUGUGCACGAGAGAGAUAGAUCUCUGAUUACUGUCGACCUAUCUGUGGAUCUGUGCCAUUAGAAAGCUUCAUUUUGGCAAAAAUCAUCUGUCAGCAUUCACUGUUGCUGCUGAGAAUAUUUUUUAAGUGAUAUACAUUUAUAACUCUAUGCAAAUCUCUCUUUAAACAAAAGAAGUGAUCUAUCUGUCUGUGUGUGUGUGUGUGUGUGUGUGUGUGUGUGUGUGUGUGUGUGUGAGUGUAGGUGUGUGUGUGUGUGUGUGUAAUAGGAGUGUGUAGGGCUGUAUAAUGUGAAACAGCGUCAUCAUUUUCUGGCUUACACAUCAGAUACAUCCUCAGAACUGACUAACAUUUAAACUCAUUUAAAACAUGAGGGAAAGUGUUAGAAUUAUCAAACAAAGCUAUGGUAUAUAUAUAUAUAUAUAUAUGUGCGUGUGUGUGCGUGUGUGUGAGUAUUGUAUAAAGGUACGUUUGUAAAACUAUUAAUUUUAUCACAAACCUGUGGUAGUUAUGAAACAUUUACUGUUUAACUUGACACGCUAUGCGUGCUAUUUAAUAUGAGCUGAUAUGAAGAAUUUUAAAAGCUGUUUUUUAAAUUUUCUUUAAUUUUGUUUAUUUUUAUCACCUCGGCAUUGGAACCUGUUUCUGCUCUCAGCUUUGUAUCACUGUCUGUUAAGCUGGUUGUAUUUUACUGUAUGAGGUUAUGUAUUGUUUAACCCUAGCAGGCUCAAAACAGGUUCCGUCUUAUAUACUGACUUAUGAGCAGUAAACCCACCUCAAAAACUCACUCUACCUUUACAGGGACAUUCAUGUUACUGAUUCUGGAACAGGGUUAACACAGGGUGCUAACUCUGCGCCCUAAGUGGUUGUGUCUAGUGGAUAAGCUAAAAAAUCAGACUGUAUACUGUAUGACCCGAUUAAACAAGGCACUUGACUGCAUUUAAACUUUACUCACAGGAAUAUCUUGCCGAAAGUAGCUCUUUCUGUCCAUCCAGUAAGCUAAGCCCAUGCAGCCUGCUAAGGGCUAAGCCCUAUAUGGCCUGACAAUGCGCUCCAUGUGUGUUACAAUGUGCAUGUGUGUAUAAUCGUUCGUGUAUGUGUGAGGGUCCAUCAUCUUACUGAUGAUGCUUACCUAUGCUCAAUGUAGUAACAGUAAAGAGAGCUGGCUCCAGUUUGGCAACAGCUGUCUCCACUGUCCUCAUCUCACAAAACAUCCACAGCUAAAUGCCACAAGACUAAUUGGACGUCCCCUCAAAAUGCUGCAUUACACAGCACAGAGCCUCAGGGGUCAGAGUUUACACCGCCAGCCCCUCACUCCACCACCAAUGGCCAUUUUAUACCUGCAUGCGUACCCAUCGACUCCCCAUUCCCCUUUGGCACCCCGUGAGUACCCUCCUCAAAACCUUUACACUCAUAUCCUGUUAAACACUUGUAGCUUCUCCCAGAAAUCUUUGCAGUUUUUCUCAUCCUGUUACAUCAGCUGCUUGCAUGAAAUAGGUGGUUGUUCUCUUUGUUUUGUUUUUUAUGUUUUUUGUUCUGUUUUCUCCCAGUGUCACAUUGGCAGUAGCGGAGAGAAUCAUAGCUGGCAACUAUUUUAUUCAUUUUAAAUGUUUUUUGUUUGUUUUUCAGUCAAUUGCGAUAUUUAUAUUUUUGUAAUAUAAAAAAUGUGUUUUUUUUUCUUUCAUUAUUGUUGUGAUGUGGAUAACAAAUGCAGGGAUUUUUAUGUCUAUUGAAAAAAACACUAUUACAGUUUAAUGUUUUUACAUUAAUGGAUUUUGAUCUGUAUAAAGUGCUUACUAAUGUUAAAUAGGAAAAAAAGAGUAUAUAACAUUUUACACUACAGGUCUCAUCAUAGCUCUUAGAGGAUUUUAAAAGGAAAAAAAAAUUUGGUUCUUCCAGACUGUCUUUCUGGUCUCGGUUGGCGUGGAUGUAUGCUGUUUUCAGUUACAAAGAUAAAUGUAUGCCAUAUAAUUUAUUUAUAUGAAAAUUUAUUUUUGUAGUGUACAUAGUAGUUGUCAAGUUAUUUGACAGAAGUAUAUUUUUAAAGAGUUUAUAUGUAAUGAUAUACCAUAACAGAAAAAAAGCCUUAAGGUGCACACUUUCAUUGCUAACUGUCUUGUUAGACAACAUUGACACCUCCCCUUCAGUAUUAUGUUCCGAUCAGCUGUUUCUAUGGGUUUGUCGAAAGCUAGUCAUGAAAGUAGAAAUUGUACUAGCUCUCUAAAUAUUAAUGUUCAAACACUGAUAGAUUUCUAACAAAUAAAAAUAUAACUUAUUUGUCUUUUUGUUCAUAACUUUAAUAAAUGGAAACUUAAAACGA
ensembl:lncRNA